UACAGAGGAUGCAAGCGUUAUCCGGAAUGAUUGGGCGUAAAGCGUCUGUAGGUGGCUUUUUAAGUCCGUUGUGAAAGCCCCGAGCUCAACUUGGGAAUUGCAGUGGAUACUGGCAGGCUGGAGUACGGUAGAGGAAGGUGGAAUUCCCGGUGUAGCAGUGAAAUGCGUAGAUAUCGGGAGGAACACCAGUGGCGAAGGCGGCCUUCUGGACCAGUACUGACGCUCAUGCACGAAAGCGUGGGGAGCAAACAGG
rnacentral:rRNA from 1 species